UGGUGGUAAGGCGAGUAGAGAGAAGAAGCCUUCUAUAGUCCUAUGAUUAGAUAGGUCCAUGGUCCUCCAUCAUUCUGAAAUCCCAAAACCUUUAAAAACAGAGUUUUAACAGAAGUUUUCAGCAAACUUAUUAGAUGAUAAAAACAUAACCUUAACUAAGGAGUAACUAUUUGUGUUGUUGGCUUUCUUUCCGCAAGAUCUAAGAGGCCCGGUGGAAUCAAUAUUCCCAAAACGCUUCCCAGGGUUAUGAGACCCGCUGAAAGUGUAAGCACUGGGAAAUGCUGACCCAGUCAUUCAAAAUUAUGGUGAGCAAGAGUCAAGAGUCUUCCCAACCAGAGUGGUCGCUGUUGCAAAGGGGCUCUCUCACCCAGGUUUCAGGAAUUAUAGUUGUCCCUGAAAAGGUAACUGCUAAAGCAUUACGUUGAUAUCAAAACACAUGGGUUGUAAAGCCACCGAAAUGAUAGUAGAUGGUGAAGAAAGAAACGGACGAUUAAAACAUGAUGAAAACCAGUUUUUCCACUAAAUCUUAAACAUGGCAGACUAAGCUCUGAGAGUGAGCAAAUGGGAGACUUAGGGAUUUUUUCCCCUGAAGCCUCAUUUGUGGCAAGGGUGUCUUAUGACUUUGGUGCCAUUUGUUCCUUUGAAAUUGCUUCCUUUUCUUUGUUUCCAUUUUUUUUUAAGUUUAUUUAUUUAUUUGGAGAGAGAGAAAGCACGAGCUGGGGGGCAGGGAGGAGCAGAGGGAGGGAGAAUCCCAAGCAGGCUCCUCAGGGUCAGCGCAGAUCCCGAUGUGGGGGCCUGAACUCACGAAACAUCAUGGCCUGAGCUGAAAUCAAGAGUCGGCCACUCAACCGGCCGAGCCACCCAGCUGCCCCUCUUGAUUUCCAUUUUUAUGAUUAGCAGCCUACAUAGUUCCAUAAUGUGGAUAUACCAUAUCCAGAAGGACGGUGCCAGGAAUUCUGCAGGUGGAAGCAAUCCCAGGUGAUGUAAAGAAGGCGUGAUGUCCUUUAAUGGAAGAGAAUGUGAGCGUAGGUACCUACAUGUCCAGCAUUCCACCCAACACAGGAGAGCAGCUGCAGAAUCAGCAAGUGGGAAGCACCGUCUUCGGGACCUGUGACAACUUCUGUGUACACGUGGCAGAUACCGGCUCUGGCAGCCUAACUGGAAAGCCCAGACUAGCGUUACAGCCGAGAAAACUGCCCCAGGACUAACAGCAGGACAGAACCUACACCCGCCAAAACCUCAGCGUCUCGGAGCCCCAUGUUGUGAGAGUUCUAUGGAAAAGGACUCGACACUCUCAUAAUUCCACUCAGAGGGAGCUGUUGGUCGUGGCUCUGGGGACGCUAAUGGCUGUUGUCAUGGUCAUCAUUUUACUGUCGUGGCGGGUGCCAAACCAAAACAGAAAAUGGAGAAGAGAACGUCUAUGAAAACCUUUGAAACACACAAAACUUGUUGACUUAGUUGGAGUUGUAUUCCUUCUAGCCGUAUGCCUUCUUCUGGGCUGUCAAACUCGUAAGAUUUGUGGGUGGCAGGAUGAUGUCAUCUGUAUUCAACAGCUUGUAGUAAUUUCCACUCCCAGCCCCGCUCAAAGGUUGAGAUUAUUGCGGUAAAUGGGAUCUGAGCUUACGGAUGAAAGCCUCACUUUUCUUUUCCAUUGAGAUCACAAUACUGUCCCCUCUAGCAGGAUGACAAUUGUGCUGUCACCCACAUUACAUCAUACUAUCUCCCUCAAAAUGGCCUCAUCUAAGUGUGUGAGUGCAGCUGUGAAAACAAAACAUAUUUUACCGUGAGCUUUGUAAAUCCUCAAGGCACAUAUUAAUGAGUUUGCCUUUUAAAAGUAAUAUGAAAAAAUGUAAUGUAAGAGGUGUGGCCACUGUGAGUGAGUCAGGAGCAGGAUUCAGGAGGUCAGAAGGCUGUGAGAGAUCAGGGCUGGGUACGGUGGCUAGGCCUGGCUGCUGGGCUCGUCUCGUGGUCCUACCUGGCGCAUGGAGGUGGCAUUCCACUGCUCCUGGGUAGCCCAGGGAGAAAACUCCUUCCUGCCAUGCCAAGUCGUGCGUAGACCACAGGAUGGGGGGCUGCUUAUAUAACCAAGUUAUCACCAGGUGAUGAUAUCAAAGGGUGAUCAAGUGAUUGUAUCAUCUUCUGAACACAACACUGACCAUACUGCUCUUGAGAUCGGAAAGGCUGAGGACCUGCUCCAACUUCGGGUCCCAAAUCUGGAGAAGCAUCGACAAACAAAUAGAACAAAUGUACCAGAAUCAGAUAUCGUCACCUGGCAGGGCAAAGCAAAAGAAGGUUCCUGAUGUUGGGAAUUAGCUUCAGCUGACAAGAUGUGAUGUUGAUAGACAAAACUAAACGUGGAUCAAAAUCAACCAAAGGAAGGCUUGCCUCCUUGAUUCCACAACUGGCAAAAGCCAUCAAACUCACAGAAAUGCGUACUUCGUGGUUACCCCAAUGAUGUCACCCAUGCUUUCUGUGCAAAGCGUCCCUUCCAAGAAGCUGGGGACAUACCUGCCCAGUCACAAAUGGGGUGGGGUGUGAGGUGUGCGAGGCUGCAUGGUGUCAUGCUUCCCAGAGGGCUAGCUCUGUGGCUGGAGCUCUCUCUCCUAGAAACUUUGCUCGGUCUCUUGCUCUUUGGUCUAGUCUUUUGCUGUGUUAAGAUGUGCAGAGAGAAAAAUAAGAAAAGGAAGGCCACCAUAAUGUCAGACAAGGGGCGCCUCCUUCAAAGAGCUGUGCAUGGAAAAUCAGAAUCUGUCUGGUCAGCUGUCACCUGUUCCCAGGAUGCAGCUCUACCCAAAAUGGAAGGAUAUGCUGAGGCUCAUUCUCAUCAAGGGAAGGGAAGACUUGCAUGGUGUUUCACUUUGCUGGGGCUGUGUAACAAAACGCAACAGACUGUGUGGCUUAAACAACAGAAAUUUAUCUUCUGACUGUUCUGGAAUCUAGAAAUCCAAGAUCAAGGUGUCAGCAGGAUUAGUUUCUUCUGAGGCUUUCCCCCCCGCCCCCCCGCCUUGGCUUGUAGAUGGCUGGGUCCUCACGUGGUCUUUCCUCUGUGCGUGUCUAGGUCUUAAUCGCCUCUUCUUUUAAGGACACCCAUCCUAUUAGAUUAGGGUCCACCCCAUAUGACCUCAUUUAACUAAUUGCCUCAGUAAAGUUCUCAUUAACUUAAAUACAGUCACAUUUUGAGGUCCUGGGGGUUAGGACUUGAACAUAGGAAUUUGGGGAACACACAAUUCAGCCCAUACACAACAGAGACCUCGCACCUCGGAGUCUCUGUCUUCCACCAGCUAAACUCAGGCACGUUUACCAGCCUGACUAGACAGGAUCGCAGUGGUAAAACUAGGGAGGACCACUCAAGAACCUCGGAGACCAGACCGUUUGGAUUUGGCUCUGUCACUAGUCCCUUUUCGCAUUUAAAAACAGCUCUUAAUGUGUUCUACGAGGGACAAAGUUUAAAGCCACUGUGGAAUUUUUUUUUUUUCCUAGGGAAAGAGUGGAUUUCUUCCUUCACUGCUUCCAAAAGAAGUUUCCAGGGUGUAGGGCAUUUCUUAAAAUCCAUAUGAGGUCCUCAGUAUUGUGUCUGUUUUGCAGACAAAACACUUUGCCAGGAAGUCUUUGGCAGAGGCAGCCCUGUAACUCAGAAAUUCCAGACUCCUCAAGCCUCAGUGACACAGAUGUAAGCGGUUACCAGUGCGGACCCGCGCUGCCUGACUGCACGUAGCAACACGAUGCACCUAAGGGCCUGGGCUUCUUCCUGUGAUAGAAAAGGGAGGCCACCUCCACGUGUGUAAGGACUUGGCUGGAACAACAGGAGUAGGACCACUAUGUUUUGAAAAAUGCAAAGAGAUUUUUUUUAAUGGAGCAGAAAAGCUAGUUACAUCACUGGGGUUUGCCCAUCAUUAAAUUCAUUUGGUUUAUUUUAUAUUAUGUCUGACCUGCAUGUGCGAGGCUGUAAAUUCUUCUAUGUUUGGUAAAACACUGAGCAAGAAGGCACAACUGACUAAAUACUAGAUAUUCAAGACCUAUCUUUUCUUUUCUUUUUUUUUAGAGAGAGAGAGAAUGUUUGGGGGGGACAGGCAGAGGGAGAAAGUCUGGUUUUUUUUUAAUGUUUAUUUAUUUUUGAGACAGAGAGUGGCAGAGAGAAGGGGCAGAGAGAGAGAGAGAGAGAGUGACAGAGAAACCAAAGUGGGCUCAGCACUGACAGCAGAGAGCCCAAUGUGGGUCUUGAACUCAUGAACCAUGAGAUCACACGACAUGAGCCAAAGUCAGACACUUAACUGGGUGAGCCACCCGCCCUGAAAGAGAGAGAGAGAGAGAGAGAGAGUCUUAAGCAGACUCCACACUCAGCAUGGAGCCCAAUGCGGGGCUUGACCCCAUGACCCUGAGAUCAUGACCUGAGCUGAAAUCAAGAGCCAGACGCUCAACUGACUGAACCAUCCAGACACCCCUCAAGACCUCAUUUUCAAUGUUGAUCAAAAGGUACACACGUUCACAAUUCUCCCAUUACUUCUAAGUAUGAUGACUGAAGACCUGAUUUUGUUGCUUUAAUGCAAUCAAUUGUUAAAGUGUUUUAAACUAUUGUUUUCUUUACAUGGGUUUUUGGUUUUGUUUUGUUUUGUUUUUAAAGAGGGAAAAUAGAAGGUAAUGACAUAUACAGAAAAAAACGGAUUUGGAUCAAAACUCCUUUAAAAAAAUUUUUUUUUAAACAUUUAUUCAUUUUUGAGAGUGAGAGAGACAGAGCAUGAGUUGGGGAGGGGCAGAGAGAGAGGGAGACACAGAAUCCAAAGCAGGCUCCAGGCUCUGAGCUGUCAGCACAGAGCCUGACUCGGGGCUGGAACUCACAAAUUGCGAGUUCAUGACCUGAGCCGAAGUCGGACGCUUAACUGACUGAGCCACCCAGGCGCCUUUGGACCAAAACUCCAUAAAGAGAAAUUUUUAUUUCUAUGGAAACACAAUUUUAAACACAAUUUAAAAAGACAAGUAGUGAAAAUAUAUAGUGUAAGUUUUUGGAAAACAUUUCUCAAAGUUUCCAUAAGGGUCUCUGUUUAUAAACAACUUUAAAAUUAAUUUUGUUGCCUUAGGGGCCAGAAAUUUAGAUUCAAACAAGGGACAUCUGGAGAUGCUUAGUAAGUGAAAUAGAUAUUCUGAAUGAGGCAUCGUUCUGUGAAAGUUAAGAGGAAUACACUGAUGCUUUAAAAAAAAAUUUUAUGUUUAUUUAUUUUUGAAGGAGAGAGAGAGUGUGAGUGGAGGAGGGGCAGAGAGAGAGGGAGACACAGAAUGUGAAGCAGGCUCCAGGCUUCGAGUGGUCAGCACAGAGCCCAAUGUGGGGCUGGAACUCACAAACCACGAGAUCAUGACCUGAGCCAAAGUUGGACGCUUAACCGGCUGAGCCACCCAGGUGCCCCAAUACACCGAUGCUUUUUUAGAUGCUUAAAUAUACCAGCACUAAGUUUUGGGUGUUUUUUUUUUUUUUUAGAGAUGAAUGCUAAUUCACCCUGAGUUGAUGUACAUAAAGUUAGUGUUACAUUUCUAUAUUAGCUGUUUAUAAAAUAAAAUAUGUUAGGGGCUGAGGAGUCUUCCAUUGGAAAGUGAAGGCAGUAGCUUUCACUAGAACUUCUCAACUCAAAGCAAACAAACUCAUGAAUAGGCUCCCUUUAAUCAUGAAGGCAGUGUCUAACUUACAGUCUAUUUAAUCUACAAUGCAAAAAGGGAAUGCAAGUUCUAAUUUUUCAAGUUUAGAAUGUGCAAUUUUGGAAAGGCCGUGUUGUUUAAAAGUAAAGGAAGAGGAAGAAAAUCCUGCUGUAAUCACUGUGCCUAAGAUAAUUAUGCUCUCAUUAAAAAAAAAAAAAAAAAUGUUCUGAGACUGCUAUAGACCGAAUGAAUAUUCAUAUCCAACUCCCCCCACCCCCACCCCAGGUUUCAUUUGUUGAAAUCCUAACCCCACAAUGUGACGGUGUUGGGAGGUGGGGACCUUUGGGAGGUGAUGAGGUCAUGGUGGAGCCCUUGUGAAUCGCACCAGUGCCCUCAUAAAAGAGACCCCAGAGAGCACCCUUGUCCAUUCUGCCACGUGAGGACACAGCAGGAGGAUGGCCGCCUCCCAACCCGGAAGUGGGGCCUCCUCACCAGCCACUGAAUAUGCCUCCCCUUGACCUUGGACUUCCCAGCCUCCAGAACUGUGAGAAAUAAACAUCUGUUGGUUAUAAGCC